rnacentral:rRNA from 1 species
UACGGGGGGAGCAAGCGUUGUUCGGAUUUACUGGGCGUAAAGGGCGCGUAGGCGGCCUCUGCAAGUCGACUGUGAAAUCUCCGGGCUUAACCCGGAACGGUCAGCCGAUACUGCAGGGCUAGAGUGCAGAAGGGGCAACUGGAAUUCUCGGUGUAGCGGUGAAAUGCGUAGAUAUCAGGAAGAACACCAAUGGCGAAGGCAGCUCUCUGGGACGGUACUGACGCUGAGACGCGAAAGCGUGGGGAGCGAACAGG